rnacentral:rRNA from 1 species
GAUGAACGCUGGCGGCGUGCCUAAUACAUGCAAGUCGAGCGAACGGACGAGAAGCUUGCUUCUCUGAUGUUAGCGGCGGACGGGUGAGUAACACGUGGAUAACCUACCUAUAAGACUGGGAUAACUUCGGGAAACCGGAGCUAAUACCGGAUAAUAUUUUGAACCGCAUGGUUCAAAAGUAAAAGACGGUCUUGCUGUCACUUAUAGAUGGAUCCGCGCUGCAUUAGCUAGUUGGUAAGGUAACGGCUUACCAAGGCAACGAUGCAUAGCCGACCUGAGAGGGUGAUCGGCCACACUGGAACUGAGACACGGUCCAGACUCCUACGGGAGGCAGCAGUAGGGAAUCUUCCGCAAUGGGCGAAAGCCUGACGGAGCAACGCCGCGUGAGUGAUGAAGGUCUUCGGAUCGUAAAACUCUGUUAUUAGGGAAGAACAUAUGUGUAAGUAACUGUGCACAUCUUGACGGUACCUAAUCAGGAAGCCACGGCUAACUACGUGCCAGCAGCCGCGGUAAUACGUAGGUGGCAAGCGUUAUCCGGAAUUAUUGGGCGUAAAGCGCGCGUAGGCGGUUUUUUAAGUCUGAUGUGAAAGCCCACGGCCCAUCCGUGGAGGGUCAUUGGAAACUGGAAAACUUGAGUGCAGAAGAGGAAAGUGGAAUUCCAUGUGUAGCGGUGAAAUGCGCAGAGAUAUGGAGGAACACCAGUGGCGAAGGCGACUUUCUGGUCUGUAACUGACGCUGAUGUGCGAAAGCGUGGGGAUCAAACAGGAUUAGAUACCCUGGUAGUCCACGCCGUAAACGAUGAGUGCUAAGUGUUAGGGGGUUUCCGCCCCUUAGUGCUGCAGCUAACGCAUUAAGCACUCCGCCUGGGGAGUACGACCGCAAGGUUGAAACUCAAAGGAAUUGACGGGGACCCGCACAAGCGGUGGAGCAUGUGGUUUAAUUCGAAGCAACGCGAAGAACCUUACCAAAUCUUGACAUCCUUUGACAACUCUAGAGAUAGAGCCUUCCCCUUCGGGGGACAAAGUGACAGGUGGUGCAUGGUUGUCGUCAGCUCGUGUCGUGAGAUGUUGGGUUAAGUCCCGCAACGAGCGCAACCCUUAAGCUUAGUUGCCAUCAUUAAGUUGGGCACUCUAAGUUGACUGCCGGUGACAAACCGGAGGAAGGUGGGGAUGACGUCAAAUCAUCAUGCCCCUUAUGAUUUGGGCUACACACGUGCUACAAUGGACAAUACAAAGGGCAGCGAAACCGCGAGGUCAAGCAAAUCCCAUAAAGUUGUUCUCAGUUCGGAUUGUAGUCUGCAACCCGACUACAUGAAGCUGGAAUCGCUAGUAAUCGUAGAUCAGCAUGCUACGGUGAAUACGUUCCCGGGUCU